GAUGAACGCUGGCGGCGUGCCUAAUACAUGCAAGUCGAGCGAACAGACGAGGAGCUUGCUCCUCUGACGUUAGCGGCGGACGGGUGAGUAACACGUGGAUAACCUACCUAUAAGACUGGGAUAACUUCGGGAAACCGGAGCUAAUACCUGAUAACAUGUUGAACCGCAUGGUUCAACAGUGAAAGACGGUCUUGCUGUCACUUAUAGAUUGAUCCGCGCCGCAUUAGCUAGUUGGUAAGGUAACGGCUUACCAAGGCAACGAUGCGUAGACGACCUGAGAGGGUGAUCGGCCACACUGGAACUGAGAAACGGUCCAGCCUCCUACGGGAGGCAGCAGUAGGGAAUCUUCCGCAAUGGGCGAAAGCCUGACGGAGCAACGCCGCGUGAGUGAAGAAGGUCUUCGGAUCGUAAAACUCUGUUAUUAGGGAAGAACAAAUGUGUAAGUAACUAUGCACGUCUUGACGGUACCUAAUCAGAAAGCCACGGCUAACUCCGUG
rnacentral:rRNA from 1 species